UGCUGGCUGUUCCCUCUGACAGUCUGUGGCAUGCCCAUGAUGGAUGGACCAAUUCUAACAUAUAAUAGCAAUACAUUUCAGUUUGCUAAAUACUGUCACUGAAGUGGACCUCCAGUCCCCAGGGAGCAGUGGGAUGUGUGGCCACAAAAACAGUGCAGUUGUAGGUCACGUAUUUUUUUAUACACAAAGAUCAGUCAUCUCAUGUCAUGUUUAAAUAUGGUAUGAUUGAAGUAUUUAGGUAUGGUUAGGUAAUUUUGUAUAUAUUUUAUAAUAAGAGUAGAAACAUUAAAAAUCACUUUUCUUGUUUGUGCAAAAGUAACAUUAUUUACCAUAAGAGCUUUUUACUGUCUGGCUUUAGCAACAGUGGACAUUUUCUCUGAUUAUGAGCUCCGAGAAGACUUGCUGAUUUGAGGACAUCACUAACGUUCCGUGAGAAUCAAUGAAGCUUCUCUGCGAUUCCUGCUACCGUGGAGACGUUUCAUAGCCGAGAAGGCAGAGGGACUAUCCAUGGAUACAAGACACAAUCUAACAUUAACUAUUUCUGCAGACUUUUCUCGAGACAGAUGUGUAUUAGUAAGCAUAGAGACUAAGGAGGAGUUCGGUUAUCCCUUAAUAUGUGAAUAAUGGCAACUCUUAGACCAUUUCAAGCCAUCAAUAUUCAAUUGGUCCUCAAUCAAGGAUGUCAACCUUUAGAUGCCUGCAACACUUUCCCUUUCAGAAGUGCCUUGGAUGGACACGGCCAGACACCAUUGCCUUCUCUCCUCGACAGUCUGCGAGUGAUGGACUCACUGAAUCUACCCAACUCCUCCUAACAGUUCGAAGAAGUCACAGCGUAUUGAAGCGGACACCUCUUGGAGUACGUGGCCUGUUCCAGAGAUGUGCUGUUUCUUCACGAACCUCCAAUUUGAUGCUCAUCAGCCAGGGAAGAAUUGGAUGUUUCAAAUAAGAUGAAAGGGAAGACAACAUCGACCUCGGAUGGGUUAUAGGGAUGGCCAAACAUAGGACACGGAUACUGGACAGAUGAGACCCGCAGAAGAAUCAUGAGUCACAUAUACUCACGGCCUAGAGGAAGACACUGAUGUCAUGUGGAACCACACAGGAACAGAAUGAGUAGCUAAGGGCUAUGGCAGACGGACUUUGUAGUGUUGAGAGAGUGAGGUGGCACCUGGUUCCCUCGGUGGCUUGUUUGAAUAAUUCUGCCAGUUGACAGAUGACUGAAACCCAUUCCUUCCAGAUAAGCAGGAACUGCCUCUGGUUUCCUUGAUAAGGAUGGUUAUUUGGCUAGGGACCUUAUCCAUGAGGUCCACUAGGACAGUCAAGCCCCCUCCCCCAAUUUUACCAGAUGGCAAGGUGGUCCAUAAUAUAGGGUCUUCAUUUUAGGUCUUAUACCAGACCUGUCAACAUUGUGAACCUCUCAUUCUGUUGGUGAAGAACACCAGAGCAAAUGGAUUUCCCAAUGGUGACCAUAAUUUGCUACAGGACCUUAUUUUUUUCCUACAUGUGACCCAAGACUAUGACGAGGUAAUAUUGUGAGAAAGCAGCAAUCAUUUGGUAUCUUAAGGCAAUAAGGCAUAUUAUUUCAUUUCCUUAAAUAUGUAUGUUGUUCUAUUUCUUCGAUCUAGUUCCCAGGCAUUAAGAGGGGAGGAAGAGAAGUUUAGGUUUCCCAGUUUGGAUGCCUUCUCAAAACAACAGAAAGGUAUGUCAUUUUCUUUUGUAUUGUGUAUCCUCUGCUUCACAACCUCCCCCCAACCAACCCCGUGCCGAUAAACAAUUGUCUUUUCUUACAUAUUUCAUGGCAUAUUUGUAUUUCUAUUUUUGGAAAAAUUAUAAAGCCAUGGAGGCUCAGUGCAUGCCCUAUAUUUUGCAAAGGUAAUUAUCAGAAGGAUAAGAACAAGGGGCCAUUGUCUCUCUUCUCUGUGCCUUAAGUUAUACAGCACUCUCCAUGCAAUACAGCCUCUAAAAGAAUAAGGUAGACUGUAUAUAGCAUUAUAAAAAACAUCUUUAAAAAAUCAAAAGGUUCGGGGCACCUGAGUGGCUCAGUCAGUUAAAUGUCCAACUCUUGAUUUUGGCUCAG